CCUACGAGAGGCAGCAGUGAGGAAUAUUGGUCAAUGGGCGCGAGCCUGAACCAGCAAAGUAGCGUGAAGGAUGACUGCCCUACGGGUUGUGAACUUCUUUUAUAAAAGUAUAAAGUGAGGCACGUGAGCCUUUUUGUAUGCACUUUAUGAAUAAGGAUCGGCUAACUCCGUGCCAGCAGCCGCGGUAAUACGGAGGAGACGAGUGUUAUCCGGAUGUAGUGGGUUUAAAGGGAGCGUAGAUGGGUUGUUAAGUCAGUGGUGAAAGUUUGCGGCUCAACCGUAAAAUUGCAAUUGAUACUGGCAGUCUUGAGUACAGUUGAGGUAGGCGGAAUUCGUGGUGUAGCGGUGAAAUGCUUAGAUAUCACGAAGAACUCCGAUUGCGAAGGCAGCUUACUAAACUGCCACUGACAUUGAUGCUCGAAAGUGUGGGUAUCAAACAGGAUUAGAUACCCUUGUAGUC
rnacentral:rRNA from 1 species